rnacentral:rRNA from 1 species
AGAUUAAGUUAUUAAGGGCGCACGGUGGAUGCCUUGGCACUAGAAGCCGAUGAAGGACGUUACUAACGACGAUAUGCUUUGGGUAGCUGUAAGUAAGCGUUGAUCCAGAGAUUUCCGAAUGGGGGAACCCAGCAUGAGUUAUGUCAUGUUAUCGACAUGUGAAUUCAUAGCAUGUCAGAAGGCAGACCCGGAGAACUGAAACAUCUUAGUACCCGGAGGAAGAGAAAGAAAAAUCGAUUCCCUGAGUAGCGGCGAGCGAAACGGGAAGAGCCCAAACCAACAAGCUUGCUUGUUGGGGUUGUAGGACACUCUAUACGGAGUUACAAAAGAACAUGUUAGACGAAUCAUCUGGAAAGAUGAAUCAAAGAAGGUAAUAAUCCUGUAGUCGAAAACAUAUUCUCUCUUGAGUGGAUCCUGAGUACGACGGAGCACGUGAAAUUCCGUCGGAAUCUGGGAGGACCAUCUCCUAAGGCUAAAUACUCUCUAGUGACCGAUAGUGAACCAGUACCGUGAGGGAAAGGUGAAAAGUACCCCGGAAGGGGAGUGAAAGAGAACUUGAAACCGUGUGCUUACAAGUAGUCAGAGCCCGUUAAUGGGUGAUGGCGUGCCUUUUGUAGAAUGAACCGGCGAGUUACGAUCUGAUGCAAGGUUAAGCAGCAAAUGUGGAGCCGCAGCGAAAGCGAGUCUGAAUAGGGCGUUGAGUAUUUGGUCGUAGACCCGAAACCAGGUGAUCUACCCUUGGUCAGGUUGAAGUUCAGGUAACACUGAAUGGAGGACCGAACCGACUUACGUUGAAAAGUGAGCGGAUGAACUGAGGGUAGCGGAGAAAUUCCAAUCGAACUUGGAGAUAGCUGGUUCUCUCCGAAAUAGCUUUAGGGCUAGCCUCAAGUGAUGAUUAUUGGAGGUAGAGCACUGUUUGGACGAGGGGCCCCUCUCGGGUUACCGAAUUCAGACAAACUCCGAAUGCCAAUUAAUUUAACUUGGGAGUCAGAACAUGGGUGAUAAGGUCCGUGUUCGAAAGGGAAACAGCCCAGACCACCAGCUAAGGUCCCAAAAUAUAUGUUAAGUGGAAAAGGAUGUGGCGUUGCCCAGACAACUAGGAUGUUGGCUUAGAAGCAGCCAUCAUUUAAAGAGUGCGUAAUAGCUCACUAGUCGAGUGACACUGCGCCGAAAAUGUACCGGGGCUAAACAUAUUACCGAAGCUGUGGAUUGUCCUUUGGACAAUGGUAGGAGAGCGUUCUAAGGGCGUCGAAGCAUGAUCGCAAGGACAUGUGGAGCGCUUAGAAGUGAGAAUGCCGGUGUGAGUAGCGAAAGACGGGUGAGAAUCCCGUCCACCGAUUGACUAAGGUUUCCAGAGGAAGGCUCGUCCGCUCUGGGUUAGUCGGGUCCUAAGCUGAGGCCGACAGGCGUAGGCGAUGGAUAACAGGUUGAUAUUCCUGUACCACCUAGUAUCGUUUUAAUCGAUGGGGGGACGCAGUAGGAUAGGCGAAGCGUGCUGUUGGAGUGCACGUCCAAGCAGUAAGGCUGAGUGUUAGGCAAAUCCGGCACUCAUAAGGCUGAGCUGUGAUGGGGAGAGGAAAUUGUUUCCUCGAGUCGUUGAUUUCACACUGCCGAGAAAAGCCUCUAGAUAGAUAACAGGUGCCCGUACCGCAAACCGACACAGGUAGUCAAGAUGAGAAUUCUAAGGUGAGCGAGCGAACUCUCGUUAAGGAACUCGGCAAAAUGACCCCGUAACUUCGGGAGAAGGGGUGCUCUUUAGGGUUCACGCCCAGAAGAGCCGCAGUGAAUAGGCCCAAGCGACUGUUUAUCAAAAACACAGGUCUCUGCUAAACCGUAAGGUGAUGUAUAGGGGCUGACGCCUGCCCGGUGCUGGAAGGUUAAGAGGAGUGGUUAGCUUCUGCGAAGCUACGAAUCGAAGCCCCAGUAAACGGCGGCCGUAACUAUAACGGUCCUAAGGUAGCGAAAUUCCUUGUCGGGUAAGUUCCGACCCGCACGAAAGGCGUAACGAUUUGGGCACUGUCUCAACGAGAGACUCGGUGAAAUCAUAGUACCUGUGAAGAUGCAGGUUACCCGCGACAGGACGGAAAGACCCCGUGGAGCUUUACUGUAGCCUGAUAUUGAAAUUCGGCACAGCUUGUACAGGAUAGGUAGGAGCCUUUGAAACGUGAGCGCUAGCUUACGUGGAGGCGUUGGUGGGAUACUACCCUAGCUGUGUUGGCUUUCUAACCCGCACCACUUAUCGUGGUGGGAGACAGUGUCAGGCGGGCAGUUUGACUGGGGCGGUCGCCUCCUAAAAGGUAACGGAGGCGCUCAAAGGUUCCCUCAGAAUGGUUGGAAAUCAUUCAUAGAGUGUAAAGGCAUAAGGGAGCUUGACUGCGAGACCUACAAGUCGAGCAGGGUCGAAAGACGGACUUAGUGAUCCGGUGGUUCCGCAUGGAAGGGCCAUCGCUCAACGGAUAAAAGCUACCCCGGGGAUAACAGGCUUAUCUCCCCCAAGAGUUCACAUCGACGGGGAGGUUUGGCACCUCGAUGUCGGCUCAUCGCAUCCUGGGGCUGUAGUCGGUCCCAAGGGUUGGGCUGUUCGCCCAUUAAAGCGGUACGCGAGCUGGGUUCAGAACGUCGUGAGACAGUUCGGUCCCUAUCCGUCGUGGGCGUAGGAAAUUUGAGAGGAGCUGUCCUUAGUACGAGAGGACCGGGAUGGACAUACCUCUGGUGUACCAGUUGUCGUGCCAACGGCAUAGCUGGGUAGCUAUGUAUGGACGGGAUAAGUGCUGAAAGCAUCUAAGCAUGAAGCCCCCCUCAAGAUGAGAUUUCCCAACUUCGGUUAUAAGAUCUCUCGAAGAUGACGAGGUUAAUAGGUUCGAGGUGGAAGCGUGGUGACACGUGGAGCUGACGAAUACUAAUCGAUCGAAGACUUAAUCAAUUUUUAAA